CCAAGUUGGAAUCGCUCACAGUACAUAUAUAUGCCGCCACAUUAUAAUUGGUAUUCACAACCACGAUUAAUUGGUCAUCCAAAUUACAGGGAAAGACCGACAACAAGAUUUGCACCACCACACAUUUUCAGCGGAUUACGAGGAGAGCAACGCUUUCGGAACCCAUCUCAGCCUCCGCAACGUAUGUUAGGUCGAGCACGUUCGAAUUCACGACAAUACUCUCAGGGCAGACCUCGCGGUCAAAGCCGAAAUGCCUCUUGACUAGUGCAAGAAUAUCCCGUUCGGAAUAAAAGCAUAAAGGCAGUUAAUAAACAAGUAGAGCCGCUACACGCGACAAUAACAAAGAAAAGGAAACAGAAACAUAUCAAUCACAACGAGCCUAAAAAUGUUAUACAAUUCAAGGGAAUGUACGAGACAAAAUCCGUAAGGGAUGCAGAUCCGAGUCUAAAAUGUUUAAUAAAUGGACAAUUGGGCUAUUUAACAAUAGACACGGGAG
rnacentral:lncRNA from 1 species